AUAUUAUUAAGCGGAGGAAAAGAAACCAACAGGGAUUCCCUUAGUAACGGCGAGUGAAAGGGGAGAAGCUCAAGAUUGAAUCGGGUGACCCUCGCGGGCACUUGAGUUGUAAUCUAUAGGUAACUUGGUUAUACCUCGUGGACUUGGCAUAAACCUUUGAAAAAAGGUAUCAUAGUGGGUGAAAUUCCCAUCUAUGACUGGGAUCUGCGUGUUAUAACCUUGACACCUGAGAGUAGCGAUAGGUUGGAAUACCUGCGCGAAGAUGGGUGAUAAACUUCAUCCAAAGCUAAAUACCUGCCAGAGACCGAUAGCACACAAGUACCGUGAGGGAAAGGUGAAAAGAACUUUGAAAAGAGAGUUAAACAGUAUCUGAAAUUGCUAAGAGGUAAACGGUUGGAAACCAGCCCAAAAUCUGAGGCUAUUUUACUUCCCAUCUGACUUCUUUGUUGUUUGACUCAUUUUCCUUUCAGGAAUUGGGCCGGGUGAUGAAGUUGGCAGAGGGAGGGGUUCUGUAGCUUUAGGUCCGGCAGAAUCAGUCCUUUAUCUUCUCGGAGAAAAACGGAGGAAAGGUGGGAAUCGAGGGGUUUCUUCUCGCUUAUUCACCUUAUAUAUCUCCGUUGUUCUACGGAAAGAAGGACUGAGGGAACGAAAUCUGAUAAGUCA
rnacentral:rRNA from 1 species